GCGAAGGCAUACUCCGUGGCUUGAGCUGGCAGCACCCGAGUGCUGAAGGCAGGUGAUAGGGUACCCAGGCGGGUGGAUGGCAGGACCUCUCUGUUGCCGUAGUCAAUGUAGAAGACAUGUAUUUUGGCAGGAGACUCGACUUUCUCUACUCGGGCACGGUACCAUUCUCCAUCUACAAAUUUGGCAAUGCAGAACUCUCCCCUGCG
rnacentral:misc_RNA from 1 species